CAGAUAACUUCCUGGAAUGCUGGAGGUUGUGGUUCAAGUAAGAUAAGAAGCCACCAGUUUUCACUUCAAUAAACAAGGUUGGUUGUCCCAGUGUGCUGGAGGUGCGUCGGCAGAAAGUACAUCAGUAUGUAUGCUGGCUCCAAUAGAGAGAAGGCAGGAAAAGAUGUAACCUGUGAGGGUUGCCUUCAUAAUGCCAUGGACUAACACAACCCACAGCCGUUCUCUGGGAAUCCCAGGUGACCUCCAGUAUCUUGGUCCCACAUAGCUCAGGGUGAAGAGCUGAGUAAUCCUGAACCUGGGGCUGCUGCCGGAACAACCUUUCACACAGUGCCCACUGCUCCCGGUUGCACAACAUGUUUGACUGCGAGAGAUAAACGCCAGGUUUACAUUUGACUCCAGUCACCUUCGGGGCCAGCAGCCGGAGCCUGUAAACAGCACCCACUCCUUUAGAAAGGCGCGACUUUCCCAAAGUCCUGCCUUCCGAGCGCUGCGCCAGGCUGGGAGGAGGUGGACAAGGAAGGGGAGUAUUCCAAAGAAAAAGGAGGCUACAAGCAAGCUCUCGACUCUGUUUAGGAAGAAAAGGAAGAGCCGAGCUGAAGCAUUGGCCCUGCGGGGGGUGGGGGUGGGGCUCAUUUUGUGAACUGGAAUUUAAGAACUAAAACUAGUCCCCCUAACGUGUUUCUGUUUACCCAUCAGAAAUCAAUCUCUGAUUGGAGCAGGUACUUUUUCCUCCGUAAAACAGGCCAAAGAGGAAACGGAACUGUCUUAGUACUAAAAUAAUCUGUAAUUUAAUUGAUGUUGCAUGUUAGGCUUAUUGAAGACACCACUAUGAGAAGAUUCUGUGCUUUGUUUUCUGACACUGAAAACUGCAGGGUGGGGGCGAGAAAAAUCCCCCCACGACUUCACACAGGUUAUAGGAGGAAAACUAAUAGUCGAGAAGGAGGGAUUUCAGUGGAUUCUUUCAAGAAUAAACAUGUCUUACUCAGAUCUUGAAGCCUGUGACUAUCGAGUACAUCUAAGUACAUCGAGUUCCUUCUGUUGGUUGAAGCUAGGUUUGCUGCGUCUUGAGUCCAGAUGGAACAAUGACACUAAGACAAAGCCUUAAGCAAUUUUGUUUGCUAAUAAGAUGUCAGACCACUAAUGAAAGGGCAGCUUGCUUUGGCUUAGGAGAGCAAGCUUCCCAUAGAAAGCAGCUCCUAAGUGUGAAAGAGCAAUAUUUGAUUCCCUUCCUCCCUAGUGGUAAAAAAGAUGUUUUUGAGUGGCUAGCAGAGAGGAAGAGAAGGCUAGCCGUCUACUGAUAAGAUAGGAUCAUAGGAACAUUUGUUUGGUUUUGCUUUGCAGAUGGGGACUGAAGCCAGGGAAGCUUGCCUGCUAGGCAAGCACGCUGUCACUGAAUUAUCCCUCCCCACCCCCACCCCUCCGGCCCACAUAGGGAAAAUUCUGUAGUCGUUAAGAUCGCUGUCGGUCCAGCUGCCCUUCUCCAAGACUGAGUAAGACAUUGUGAGCUCUUUAAGAAGGAGAAUCACUUCAUAGUUAAAUUAUGCUCAUGGACAUUACACGUGCCCGUUCAUUAAUAUUUAGGGAACACACCGGCCUCAGCAGUUCCAAACACCUGAGUAUAGACAAUGCUUCUUCCAAUGUGGACAGGAGUAAAACACCAAAGUUCAUCUUCUGAAUAAUGAACCACCAGCUUCAGAGUGUAAAUGCUGCCUCCUCCAGAGGCUAAGGGCCUCUCUUCCCAACCCUACUCCCCUCUAUUCUCCCACUUCCUUCUCCCCUUCCCUAUCCCAUUUAGUUUUCAUUUUUGCUCAUUGUGCAGCCUGACUGCAUGAAGCCCAGGCUGGCCAAGAACUUGCUUUGUAGUCAGUCCUUCCUUCUGAGCCAGCUGUGUGCUGGGACAGCAUUCUGACACACAAUAGGUAUUUUUUUCAGUUCCAGGUAUCAGAGCCAGGACUUAGAGGUCUAGGUAGGUGUAAGUGCGCUGCCAUUGAGUUCCGCUGCUAGCCCUGAAAUAGAGUAUCUAGCUCACCGGGGGGGCUGCAGACUCUAGAUGAUUCUGGCCCUAUCUAUCUCUUAAAAGUCAAUAUCUGGUCCAUUAAAAAAAAAAUCACACAGGAAGUUGAUGUGGGAGCAUUGAGAAUUCAGGGCUAUUCUGGGCUCUAUCACCAAAGUUUGUCUCUCAAAAACUAAAACCUGAUAGAAAGAGUCAACAUCAGACCCAAUGAAACAGACAUUAAAAUAACAGAUUACACCUAUUUUGGAGAAUCAUCUAUGUCUCCUCCCUGUUGGAAAGCUAUGAGUGUAUUUUUUAAAAUGAAUUCACCUUCAGCUGAUGUAUACUGUAUUGUUGAGCAAUCAGAGAUUUCUUUGAGUUGAUUUUUUUUUGUAGAAAUGUCCCCAGAAAGCAAUUUGAGCGAUGAAGAAUUUUUGUUCUUAUCACAGUCUAUUGCAAACAACAGUGGAUCGUCCUGAAGUACAUUUCAUAGUUUUUAUUUAAUCCUAAUUAUUUUUAUCAUUGUUGUUGACAUAUCAUCAAGCUUUUGACCUCCUUUCAGAACGUGCUCUUACUGACUAGAAUGACAAAAGCCUCCGUAGUCCAUGGGGAACCUGGAGGAGUGAGACAGAUCUGCUGCUAGAUGCAUUCUCUCCACAAAUGAGGCGAGGACCCUGAAGCCAGGACAGCAACUCAAUGGCUUAAUCCGGAUCACAAAAUGAAGGCAAUUACAGAAAACCACGAACAAAAUGCAAAGUUGUUGUGGACCUCAGUCCCAUUGAAUACUUCUACAAAACAUCUCCUGCACGUAAGGCUCAGGGAACAUUGCAGAAGUGGUAGGGAGACUGUGUUUUGUAAGAACCAGAGGGUCAGGGUUUUGCUGGAGACUGUGUCUUCUAGUAAUGUCAGAACUAUACCUCUAAAGUCUCACCAGCAUGACUGCCAGUCUUAUUUAGGGUUUCUAUUGCUAGGACACACCACCAUGACAAAAAAUGCAAGUUGGGCCGGGCAGUGGUGGCGCACACCUUUAAU